rnacentral:rRNA from 1 species
GAUGAACGCUGGCGGCGUGCUUAACACAUGCAAGUCGAACGGAAAGGCCCAAGCUUGCUUGGGUACUCGAGUGGCGAACCGGUGAGUAACACGUGGGUGAUCUGCCCUGCACUUCGGGAUAAGCCUGGGAAACUGGGUCUAAUACUGGAUAGGACCACUUCUUGGAUGGUGUGGUGGAAAGUUUUUUCGGUGUGGGAUGAGCUCGCGGCCUAUCAGCUUGUUGGUGGGGUAAUGGCCUACCAAGGCGUCGACGGGUAGCCGGCCUGAGAGGGUGUACGGCCACAUUGGGACUGAGAUACGGCCCAGACUCCUACGGGAGGCAGCAGUGGGGAAUAUUGCACAAUGGGCGCAAGCCUGAUGCAGCGACGCCGCGUGGGGGAUGACGGCCUUCGGGUUGUAAACUCCUUUCGCUAGGGACGAAGCGUUUUUGUGACGGUACCUGGAGAAGAAGCACCGGCUAACUACGUG